GCGCCCGUAGCUCAACUGGAUAGAGUACGUGGCUUCGAACCACGGGGUUGCAGGUUCAAGUCCUGCCGGGCGCA
rfam:Candidatus Ryanbacteria bacterium RIFCSPLOWO2_01_FTLL_48_26 rifcsplowo2_01_scaffold_8167, whole genome shotgun sequence.